rnacentral:rRNA from 1 species
AGUGAACGCUGGCGGUAGGCCUAACACAUGCAAGUCGAACGGCAGCACAGUAAGAGCUUGCUCUUACGGGUGGCGAGUGGCGGACGGGCGAGGAAUACAUCGGAAUCUACUUUUUCGUGGGGGAUAACGUAGGGAAACUUACGCUAAUACCGCAUACGACCUACGGGUGAAAGCAGGGGAUCUUCGGACCUUGCGCGAUUGAAUGAGCCGAUGUUGGAUUAGCUAGUUGGCGGGGUAAAGGCCCACCAAGGCGACGAUCCGUAGUUGGUCUGAGAGGAUGAUCAGCCACACUGGAACUGAGACACGGUCCAGACUCCUACGGGAGGCAGCAGUGGGGAAUAUUGGACAAUGGGCGCAAGCCUGAUCCAGCCAUACCGCGUGGGUGAAGAAGGCCUUCGGGUUGUAAAGCCCUUUUGUUGGGAAAGAAAAGCAGCAGGUUAAUACCCCGCUGUUCUGACGGUACCCAAAGAAUAAGCACCGGCUAACUUCGUG